rnacentral:rRNA from 1 species
UACGAGGGGAGCAAGCGUUGUUCGGAUUUACUGGGCGUAAAGGGCGCGUAGGCGGUCGUGACAAGUCACUUGUGAAAUCUCCGGGCUUAACUCGGAACGGUCAAGUGAUACUGUCGGACUAGAGUACAGAAGGGGCAACUGGAAUUCUCGGUGUAGCGGUGAAAUGCGUAGAUAUCGAGAGGAACACCUGCGGCGAAGGCGGGUUGCUGGGCUGAUACUGACGCUGAUGCGCGAAAGCCAGGAGAGCGAACGGG